rnacentral:rRNA from 1 species
UACGUAGGGGGCAAGCGUUGUCCGGAAUCAUUGGGCGUAAAGAGCGCGUAGGCGGCCCUGUAAGUCCGCUGUGAAAGUCAAGGGCUCAACCCUUGAAUGCCGGUGGAUACUGCAGGGCUAGAGUCCGGGAAGAGGCGAGUGGAAUUCCUGGUGUAGCGGUGAAAUGCGCAGAUAUCAGGAGGAACACCGAUGGCGAAGGCAGCUCGCUGGGACGGUACUGACGCUGAGGCGCGAAAGCGUGGGGAGCAAACAGG